AACGAACGCUGGCGGCAGGCUUAACACAUGCAAGUCGAACGGGUGCAGCAAUGCAUCAGUGGCAGACGGGUGAGUAACACGUGGGAACCUUCCUAGGGGUACGGAACAACUCAGGGAAACUUGAGCUAAUACCGUAUACGUCCGUGAGGAGAAAGAUUUAUCGCCCUUAGACGGGCCCGCGUCGGAGUAGCUAGUUGGUGGGGUAACGGCCUACCAAGGCGACGAUCCGUAGCUGAUCUUAGAGGAUGAUCAGCCACACUGGGACUGAGACACGGCCCAGACUCCUACGUCAGGCAGCAGUGGGGAAUCUUGGGCAAUGGGCUCAAGCCUGAUCCAGCCAUGCCGCGUGAGUGAAGAAGCUCUUCGGAUUGUAAAGCUCUUUUGCCAGGGACGAUAAUGACGGUACCUGGAGAAUAAGCCCCGGCAAACUUCGUGCCAGCCGCCGCGGUAAGAC
rnacentral:rRNA from 1 species